rnacentral:rRNA from 2 species
CCUACGGGAGGCAGCAGUGGGGAAUAUUGGACAAUGGGGGCAACCCUGAUCCAGCCAUGCCGCGUGAGUGAUGAAGGCCCUAGGGUUGUAAAGCUCUUUUGUGCGGGAAGAUAAUGACGGUACCGCAAGAAUAAGCCCCGGCUAACUUCGUGCCAGCAGCCGCGGUAAU